CCACGACUCCGAUUGGCCGAUCUCGACUCAUCCUAUUAUUUAUUAACAGCGUAUGAAUGGAAUACGGCAAACUGUGAUAUUUGGCCGACGUUCGGCGUCCACCGCAAGAACUAAACGCGAACGAACGAACGGAAAACCGCGUCCAAGAAACUGGUCGUUUUAAGAUUUAGUUCGCGAAUCCGGGGGAUUGAGACUGAUUUUUUUUCUCGUCUCGUAUCGCGAAAAGUGGAACUGAUUCGGGAUUCCAAAGAUGGACGAGAUCCUCAUCCGGUGGUGGCGGAUGCCGAGGUGUUGCGAUACGUAGAAUAAGUCGUCGGUUGCGAAAAUUUUUCUUUUAAGAGUUGCCGAUGUUGUUGCUGGACAAAAUGGAGGAGGGGCCCGAUCUGUCUCACCUUACUCCUGAGGAGAGGGCCAUCAUUGAAUCGGUGAUGAUGCGUCAACGACAGGAGGAGGAACGAGAACAGGAAAUUAUGAGACGAAAGGCCGACGAAGUUCAGAUACUGGAAGACACGAUAAGGUCUAGGAGCGAGCAGCACAAGAAGGCCGGCAUCGAACUGGACGCCACGUGCCACAUAUGUCUCAAGACGAAGUUCGCGGACGGAAUCGGACACAUAUGCAACUACUGUUCGAUUCGAUGCUGUGCCAGGUGCGGUGGAAAGGUCACGCUUAGGUCCAAUAAGGUUGUGUGGGUUUGUAUUCUUUGUCGAAAAAAACAAGAAUUGUUGAGUAAAACCGGUCAAUGGAUGAGCGGUGGAAUAAAUUUGGUCGAAACGGAAAUACCUCAACAACCGCAACAGAUUCCACCAUUUGAUAAACGACCGAAACUGGAAAGGGCGCAUUCGGCGGCCGAAAAGGAAAACCAACCUCUUCAGCGAUCCGGAAGUGCCCUUAGAAGGCAAUAUUCGGAGCAAGAAUCGGCUAAUCCUCCGUGCGGGUACAACGAAGAUGAUCCAAGAUUUUAUCAGGGCGAGAUUGAGGGUCUUAUGCGAACUCAUCCACAUCUCGUACCUAGAAGAUAUCCAGAUCCUGAACCAGAACCCUCACCAAUGGAUAUACCUCAAAGAGGUGUAUCCAGUAUGGGUAGUGCCAAUAAAAAGAAAAGGAUCGCGUCAGCAAAAAAACAUCACCACCCAUCUCAUCCCCAACUGCAAGCAUCCUUUUCAUCGUCGGAGGAGGAUCUAAAAUCGACGCCCGAAUACGGCAGCGACGAGAGAGACAGCGAAAAGGGGGGUAAUGGAGAUUGGCCACCGUUGAGCCAUUACAUCAUGGCACCUCAACAACAUCGUCCCCUACAAGAUGUUACAGCUGACAACCGAUGUUUCACCGAGAGAAGAAAGAAAACGGUUCGUUUCGAUCAACACGAGGCAUGGGAUAGACAGGGUUCGCAGGAUAGUCAUCGGGAUUCUGGAAUUGAUACAUCUUCUACUUUCACGUCUAGCGAGGAUUCGACACGAGGCGACAUGCCAAAGCAUCCGUUAUCUUGGCAAGUAUCCGCGGAUGGGACCCGAAUGAUCGGUCAUAUGAUUCUAAGAAAAGGUACAUCUAGAGAAGCGACCGGUUCUAGUGCUGUUCUGCUAGGUUUAAAAGUAGUUGGUGGUAAAAUAUUAGAACAUGGUUACAAAGGAGCUAUUAUUGAAAAAGUGAAAAAAGGCAGCAUAGCGGAUGUUGAAGGCCAACUAAAAGCAGGCGAUGAAGUUAUUGAAUGGAAUGGUAGGUCAUUACAAGGAAAAAGUUACCAAGAGGUAGCUGAAAUCAUUGCCGAAAGUAAACAAGAAGCUAAUGUCGAAUUAAUAGUAUCUAGAAGUAUGGGAAGUAGAAGAGCUGCUCAGGCCAGUUGGAGACAGUCUGUGGCUCAUAGAGGUCAAGCCCAAUGGGUAGAAUCGGAAGGUUAUGAACGACCACACGUUCUAGUUACAUCACCAGGAAGUCCUGAACGACCAAGACCCGGUCCAACGAUGCCUCCAAGUGUCGGAGGACGCGUUCAAUUACGAAUAGUCUUCGAACCAACCACAUUACAACUGUUAGUGACGAUAAUUUGCGCAUCUGGCCUUAUGCCAAGAUCGCCACAUCAACAACGGAAUCCUUAUUGCAAACUAUUCCUCUUACCGGAUCGAUCGGAAAAAUCUAAAAGAAGAACGAGAACGCUCGCUGGUACAACUGAACCAAUGUGGAACCAAACCUUCGUUUACUCAGGUCUUAGACGGGCCGAUUUAAAACAAAGAGCUUUGGAAAUAACCGUUUGGGACUAUGAAAGAUAUGGACCAAAUGAUUUCCUCGGUGAAACCGUCGUAGAAUUAUGGUCUUUUGAAGAUGUUCCUAUGUGGAAACAGUUAGGUGCACAUGAAGAAGUUGCUUUAACGCCAAGCGAACAUCUUUCUCCUCCAAGCACCGGUUCGAGAUUUUCCGAUUCUGAUACUCCAUCUGAAUGCGAAAUUGAUGGUGGAAGAGAGCGAAGAGGAGCUGAUGGCGCUAGUGUGAGUAGUGUUGGUAGUUCUACUAGUCCACCAAGAGAAUCUGAUAGGAGAUCUAGAAGGGACCAGGAAACUAUGUCGAGUUAUUCACAAACAGCUUAUAGAAAGAGUGGAAUGGCGAAUCAAAGAUCUCAUUCGGCGGCUCCAUGUGAAUCCCCAAGUAUGCACAUGUCUAGAUCACGUUCAAAAUCUCCUAGAAGAUCAGCAACCGAUCAUCGAUCUCUAUCACCUCCAGACGUCCGGAUAGAAUACCCACCUUCUUCUUCCUACUCAACUAGAUUCCAAUCGCGAUCAGCAACGGCAACACCAACAGGUUCUCCAAAAAAGCGUCAUCUUCCCCAAGUACCACACGCUUUAGCACGUGCUAUACAAGAUCGGGUUUCGCAACAAGACUUCGACGAACGUCCUUCGCAUCACGGAGGAGGACACAGUGGCCACGGAGGUGGACGACAUCGCGUACGAUAUCACGUGCCAACGUAUCGGAUGACCGGAACAGGUUGGGAGAGACGUCUAAGCGGGCUUAGUGACAGUGAUUUGGCAACUCAUUCGAGAACUAGGAGGGCCCUGUCGCCGGAUCGAGGCGAUAGGGAUCCCUCUGCACUCGUUGAUUUUGAUAGUGAUAUGGAAUCGGUUGCGUCGGUGACGAGCAGUGCUUUUUCGACACAAUCGGAGCGACCAAGAGGAAAUACAAGAAUAGUCAGCGCUGAUUAUGGGACCGGAAGUGAUAGAUAUCCUUACGCCACGCACAGACAUCCAUCGACGAGAAGUAGAGAUAGGGAACGAGAACGCGAGCGAGAUCAUGAACCUGAACAAAUGGAUCAUCAUCAGUAUCAUAGACAGCAUAGAGAUGGAAGUGUUAAAAGGGGCCAAUUUACCAGGAGUUUGUCCAAUAAUGAAACUCCAGCUGAUGAAAAAGCAGACGGUAGUUUGAGUGAUACAGCCGUUGGUCAAUUGCACGGAUUGGAGGUGCCUCAAAAAGAACCAACUAGAAAAGAUAGUCACCGUGAACGCGAUAGAGAUAGACAAAUUCAAUUUGGUGGACUCAAUAAAAAAAGCAGUUCAACAAGUCAACUGUCGGCAACAGACAGCGGAUACAGUACUAGAAAAAGAUCGGCCUCAAACAUUCAACGGUCCCAGGAAGUGGUUCCUGCGAGAUCUUCGGAUACCAGUCAAAGAGCUUCAAGUUUGAACUCGAUCUCUAGCUCGGAGGGAUCAUCAUUGGCAGGGGAAGGGGGUCAAUUGGCAGAAUUCAUCGAUGGUUUGGGACCUGGGCAAUUGGUAGGAAGACAAGUCCUUGGUGCUCCUGCUUUAGGAGAUAUCCAAUUGUCGUUGUGCUAUCAAAAAGGAUUUUUAGAGGUUGAAGUUAUAAGAGCUAGAGGACUUCAAGCUAGACCUGGAUCUAAAGUAUUACCAGCACCUUACGUAAAAGUUUAUUUGGUAAAUGGAAAAAAGUGUAUAGCAAAAGCGAAAACAUCGAUGGCAAGACGUACUUUAGAUCCUCUCUAUCAGCAGCAAUUAGCAUUUAAGGAACCAUUUCAAGGCUGUGUAUUACAGGUGACAGUAUGGGGCGAUUACGGUCGAAUAGAAGGUAAAAAAGUGUUCAUGGGUGUAGCCCAGAUUAUGUUGGACGAUUUAAACUUAAGCAACAUCGUCAUCGGAUGGUACAAGCUCUUCGGGACGACGUCCUUGGUUAGUGGACCUUCCUCGAUCAGCCUUUCACGCAGGAGUUCAAUGGCUAGCCUAGAUUCCCUUAAACUAUAACCGGAUUUAUCCCGUUACGAUAACGAUCUCACCUCAUUGUAGCUUUUUAUAGAAACGUCAUGUGAAACGCUUUGAAAAAGUAACCGAAAUCCGCUUUCACACUCCCUCUUUGUGCCUUGUUUCGUUAUAAAUGGUUCCUUAUUCACCCCUCAGCUACUUGUCAUCAUCUGAUUUCUUAUAUUGCAGACUUCGAACGCUGACCGCCGUGUCGUUUAGUGAACUAUGAAGAAAAGGUCGUCCAAAAGGAGAACGACGAAAGACUGAAGCGGAGAAAUCGCAUCGGUUGUUACAUAAACUACAUCAUCAUUUGUAAAAAGCUAGAAUAUGAACCAUAUACUUAUGAUUAUAUCCCAGAAUGAAACAGCUAAAUAAAUAAAUAAACGAAGUAUUUCAAUGAUCGCAAAAUGGUGCGUACUUAAGAAUUAUAGAUUAUGACUUGUAGACGUUAAAAAACAUGGGAUAGUGUGAAUCUAGUUCAAUAAGAGGCUAAAAAUACUUAAUAUAAAUAUUAUAUAAAAUGAGGAGGAAAUCGUCUAGGAUAUAUGCGCACACAUAAAGACAUAACUGAAUCAUAUCCAUUAUUAAAUUAUAAUGAAAUACGUUGUAUGUACGGAAGUGUGUAAAAAUAAUCGCUGAAUAUUUAAAAGGAUGAGGAUAACUUUUACUUGCUUCCGUAUAAUGGCUUUAUAAUGGAAUUGAUAACCGCUUUUUUACUUGAAAUAAAAUAAUAAAAUUUCAAAAACGAAAAAAAACCAUCUAUAAAAUAAAUCUAAACAUUAGAUAGAUAGAACAAAAUAUGGAAACGAAAGUUAAUGAAAAUAACGAUUAAAAAAAGAACUAAAAGAAACUUGUAUUAUAUGUAUUGUACUUAGGCCCACAUGAACAACAAAAAAAAAUUCAAACAAGAAAAUGUAUAUGAUGAACGUUUGUUGUAACAUAUAAAAAUACUAAUUUGAGAUGAAUUAAUAUUAGUUGUUAAAUUGCAUGUGAUAUAAAAAAAGAAAACCGGUGUUACGAUAUGGCCGUGCUCUUUUUCCCAUCAUUUUCUCGCUUAAAGCGUAAUAUUUAACUGAAAGGUGAAAAUAAAAUAGUUACGAAUCGUGAUGUGUCACUAAAUUAUCUCACCAUAUGAUGAGAAAAUGAAUACUUUUGAAUUUUAAUUCAUCAUCAUCAAUGACCCGACAACCCUCUUUGAGUUCAGGACAAUUUAUCAAUAAAAAAUAUUUAUUUAAGUGUCCUCAAUCAUUUCUGAAAAUUAGUUAUUUUGUAACAUCCUGUAUAUGGCGCAGUAUAUCUAUAAAAAUCUCAAUACAUGUUUUAUUGGGUCACAAUUAUACAAUACACUGAGAUAAGGAACCAAUCUCCAAUAUAUCUGGUAUUGUUCACCUCACCUCUUACAGAGCAGUGAUGCUUAGUUUAUAUCUUUCUAUUUCGCUUAUAUAUCAUUCCAUUUCUGCUUUCCAUACGGAUUUCGACGGAUCACCAAUUUUUUCAUGUUAUCGAUCUAAAUUACAUAUUAUGGUGAGAGAAUUUAGGUACUCAUGUAUAAACAACUAUUUUUAUGAAGGAUUUACUUUAAUUUUUAAAAUUUUUUAAAAAAUUCUUUUUAUUUAUAUAAAAAAAAAUCCUUCCGUACAAAAAGUUGUUAAAAAUUUGAAAGUUACUUUUCGAAUUCGUGUAGAUACCAAUAUAAACCUCUCUAUCAGACAGUUUUUUCAGACAUCAGCUCGGUGCCAUUUCGUCCCUUUUAAAUAUUAAAAUAAUUCUGUAAAUAAUAUAAAAAAGAAUAAAUCCUGGGUUUGCUUGAAAACAUACAGUUCAGAGUUGAGUUCGUAAUCCUAAGGUUACGACUACCAUUAAAAAAAAAAAAGAAGAAACAAUAGUUUAGAUUUUGUACGCGAAAUAACUAUAUUAUUAUUAAAAAUAAAUUAAAUAAUAAAAAAAGAAAACGUGGAGAAAUAAAAAUUAAAUUAAAAAAAGUAUUUAAGUAUAACAUCACACGUGUAAAUACAUUAUAAAAGAAGACCCCUUGAAAAAAAAAGAAUAAAAAUAAAAACGUGUACGAACCCGUCGUUUCGUUAUUAAUUAUCAUUAUGAUUAAAUUAUUAUUAUUAUUAUUACUCUACGAUUAACACCUAAACAAAAAUUCGUCAGCAAAAUUCGAGGUAAAAUGUUAAAUUAUUAAAAGAAACUAUAAAAAAAAACGAUGUGUCGCUGUAAAGUAAAGGGCUGGUUGGAAAUGAAGUGUUAAUUUUUUUUUUUAAUUAAGAAAAUGAGAUAAAUUGAUAAAGUAAGUUAUUGGGCAAGAGCGGCACUUCAUUAUUUCCCCAUCCCUUUUCGCUUAUAUGACUUGUAUGCUUUGUAAAAUUGACCGUACGACGACAGCAUAUCAUAAUGGGAGGUGUCGAGAGGAAAUAGUCCACAUUUAUGUCCGUCUGACACAUUCACUUUGACUGAUGUAUCCAUUUUACCCAGCCCAUGGGCAUGACAAUAAAUAAAUGAUCUAUGAAA
rnacentral:misc_RNA from 1 species